rnacentral:lncRNA from 1 species
CAAAGCUUUGAAUAUUCCUUUUCCCUCCUCAUUCAAUUUAUCCACUUUUCCACAUAUUUAACAUUAUUGAAAAUUAUUUGUCAAGCUUUGGUGUCUCUUUGAGUGAAGUUGGAUGCAUUUAAAGUGAACCAGUUAAGAUCAUUCUUUUCACGCAGUGGCUCACACCUGUAAUCCCAGAAGCUCAGGAGGCUGACGUAGGAGG